rnacentral:rRNA from 1 species
GAUGAACGCUGGCGGCGUGCCUAAUACAUGCAAGUCGAGCGAACAGACGAGGAGCUUGCUCCUCUGACGUUAGCGGCGGACGGGUGAGUAACACGUGGAUAACCUACCUAUAAGACUGGGAUAACUUCGGGAAACCGGAGCUAAUACCGGAUAAUAUAUUGAACCGCAUGGUUCAAUAGUGAAAGACGGUUUUGCUGUCACUUAUAGAUGGAUCCGCGCCGCAUUAGCUAGUUGGUAAGGUAACGGCUUACCAAGGGAACGAUGCGUAGCCGACGUGAGAGGGUGAUCGGCCACACUGGAACGUAGACGGGGUCCAGACGCCUGAGGGAGGCAGCAGUAGGGAAUCUUACGCAAUAGGGGGAAGCAUGACGGAGCGACGCCGCGUGAGUGAUGGCGAUCUUGGGAGCGUAAAGCUCUGUUAUGAGGGAAAAACAAAUGUGGAAGGAACUAAGCACGUCGUGACGGUACCGAGUCAGAAAGCCACGGCUAACUACGUG